rnacentral:rRNA from 1 species
GUAAUGUGAAUUGCAGAUUUUCAGUGAAUCAUCGAAUCUUUGAACGCACCUUGCGCUCCUUGGUAUUCCGAGGGGCAUGCCUGUUUGAGUGUCAUU